UUUCACAAAGUCCAUGAUGAAGUCAUAGAGUUCCACCUCUGUUGCAUCAUCCCCUGGUAGAUCUUCCUCUGUCUCAUCCUUGAUAGAAGAUGCCAGCUUGUAGAGCACGUCUGUUUUGGCAGAGUUGAUCAGCUGAUGAAGCUGCCAUACACCCUGCAGCUUUAAGUAAAACAAAGAGGCAGAAAACUUUAGCUUGUGUUCAGCUCGACUGCAGGAUUUAUUCUGCUUCUUCAACAUCAUAAUACUUAACACUUGACUCCCUGAGGUGGUCAACUAAAUGCUCAUUGUAGCAUCAGGUAAGUUACGAUAUCCUCAAAUACAAGAGAUAUCUACAAUAUCUGCAGAAAAACACAUUAGUAACCAUGGCAUAGGUAAAUACAUUGAAAACUAAAGCACUGUGAAAUAACCAAAAUGAAUGUCCUUAAGUGUCCUUGUUCUUCAGUCAGGCGACCGAGUGCUGGUGAAAAACCUGUCAGAGAGAGGCGGGCCUGGCAAGUUGCGGGCUUACUGGGAGCAGGUAGUGCACUCUGUUGUGGAGAGAGUUGACAAUGGACCAGUUUACAAAGUGCAACCUGAGAAGGGACCAAAAAAACUGUGUGUGCUCCACAGGAACCUACUCCUGCCCGUAAAUGAACUGCCCUUGGAAGAAACACUUCCUGCACAAUGUCAAAAAGGAAAGGCAAAGUUGAAAAAACAGCAACAAACAGUUACCAACACUCAUGAAGAAAACACAGACAGCUCUGAUGAGGAGUAUUCUUACCAGCAGAUCCCAUGCUAUAGGUUAGUGAGAUCUCAACAGAGAGAGCAUCAUCCAACAGGGCACCGUUCUCAGACUGAGCAAAGGCUACGUGCCAAAGCCUGUGAGUUUCACACUGCUGUCAGAGAGGACACAGACAACCAGGACCAGGGGGAGAAUACACCACAGGCACAGGACAGAGCUCUUGAUAUUGCAGUGGAGGAUGAACAUCAAGUGGAGGAAGAAGCACAUGACAGACUACUAGAGGGCAUGGUAGUGGAGAAGGAUGGACACCAAGUGGAGGCGGAGACAGUCAGAAGAUCCCAACGGACAGCAAGGCCGAAAGAGAUGUUCACCAAUGGCACACUGGGACAGCCGUCUUACCAGCAGUGGAAUGCAGGGCUGCAGGGUGUAUGAACACACCCCUCCUGACACCCACCAGGCCAGGGGGGCAACAUAAGCAUGAAAAAACAAAGGCAUGAAUCAGUUUCUUAGCAUCUUCCAAAGAAAGGCCAUUGAAGCCCAAGAGGACUGAGAUUGUCAUUGAUAUUAUUACCAUUGAAAUCAGAGAUGUCAACCAGUGACAACAAGUGAAAAUGCAAAGGAGGUGGGGAGGCAGAGGGAGACUGACAAGAUGGAAAGAGACUUUGAUGCCACUUUUCUGUAUGUCUUCUUGCCCUCUGCUUUGUCUAAAGGAAAAUUCAAGGAUACCUCGCCUUUGGCAUCUUUUGAUAUUUUGAUUAACAAGAUUCAAGAUAUUUUAACUUGAUGCUUCGCCCAUGUGGCUGACUGUGGCAGAAGGUCUUUCUAUGCUGCUUUGACUUUUUUAUUUUAUUUUAAAACUUCCUUUAGGUUCUGGAAUAUGAAAGAAUUCUGGUUACACUGUUAGCUGUGAAUGUGGGAGUGAUCCUCAUUGUUUGUCCAGGAAUCUCCUUCUCCUUUGUUUUGGUUUUUAUUGAUUCAACUUGACAUUUUUGAAAUUAGAGGUAGAUUAAGAUGCACAUUGGUUGAUGACAGUGGCUUGAAAAAUAGUAAUAACUAAUGAAAAAGUUAGUUAAGUGUAGUUUGAUGUUACAACUUCACGGACAUGUAAAUGAGCAUGUGAUGCUUUAGCUACUUUCCAUUAAAAUGAUUGCCAACACUA